UGGGGAAUAUUGCACAAUGGGCGCAAGCCUGAUGCAGCCAUGCCGCGUGUAUGAAGAAGGCCUUCGGGUUGUAAAGUACUUUCAGCGGGGAGGAAGGGAGUAAAGUUAAUACCUUUGCUCAUUGACGUUACCCGCAGAAGAAGCACCGGCUAACUCCGUGCCAGCAGCCGCGGUAAUACGGAGGGUGCAAGCGUUAAUCGGAAUUACUGGGCGUAAAGCGCACGCAGGCGGUUUGUUAAGUCAGAUGUGAAAUCCUCGGGCUCAACCUGGGAACUGCAUCUGAUACUGGCAAGCUUGAGUCUCGUAGAGGGGGGUAGAAUUCCAGGUGUAGCGGUGAAAUGCGUAGAGAUCUGGAGGAAUACCAGUGGCGAAGGCGGCCCCCUGGACGAAGACUGACGCUCAGGUGCGAAAGCGUGGGGAGCAAGCAGG
rnacentral:rRNA from 1 species